GCCAUUGUGGAGAAAGAGGUAUGCUGUUAUCUGAAGUAACUUGAUCUUUUGACUCACAAAGCGAACUCAUCUGCAUCUUGUCCUCAGCAGUUCCACCACACCAGGCUUCAUCUUUGACGUUGGACGUGUGUUCAUCAGGAAACUUGGAUGAGAAAAGAUCGUCAGGCAGGGUAAGCUUCCCGUCAGCCAUUGGAGAAACAGGUCAACAACAGAAUUGGCGGUGGAGAGAGAGAUUGGAUUGGGGAAGAGGUUGCAGAGAAAGAAGCUGCUGUAUAGAAGAUUGCUAGGGUUUGGGAAUUGCAGGAAGGGAAAGAAAGAGAAGACGCCGAUAGAUUAAAAUUUGAGAAUUACAGAAACUCAGAGAGAGAAGUGGCGAGAGAGGGAGAACAGAGGAGAGAGGGCUGAUGGUAAUGGUUGUAUUGAUC
rnacentral:misc_RNA from 1 species